AUUGAACGCUGGCGGCAUGCCUUACACAUGCAAGUCGAACGGCAGCACGGGAGCAAUCCUGGUGGCGAGUGGCGAACGGGUGAGUAAUAUAUCGGAACGUGCCCAGUCGUGGGGAUAACGUAGCGAAAGCUACGCUAAUACCGCAUACGAUCUAUGGAUGAAAGCGGGGGAUCGCAAGACCUCGCGCGAUUGGAGCGGCCGAUAUCAGAUUAGGUAGUUGGUGAGGUAAAGGCUCACCAAGCCGACGAUCUGUAGCUGGUCUGAGAGGACGACCAGCCACACUGGGACUGAGACACGGCCCAGACUCCUACGGGAGGCAGCAGUGGGAAUUUUGGACAAUGGGCGCAAGCCUGAUCCAGCAAUGCCGCGUGCAGGAUGAAGGCCUUCGGGUUGUUAAACGU
rnacentral:rRNA from 1 species